GAUGAACGCUGGCGGCGUGCCUAAUACAUGCAAGUCGAGCGAACAGACGAGGAGCUUGCUCCUCUGACGUUAGCGGCGGACGGGUGAGUAACACGUGGAUAACCUACCUAUAAGACUGGGAUAACUUCGGGAAACCGGAGCUAAUACCGGAUAAUAUAUUGAACCGCAUGGUUCAAUAGUGAAAGACGGUUUUGCUGUCACUUAUAGAUGGAUCCGAGCCGCAUUAGCUAGUUGGUAAGGUAACGGCUUACCAAGGCAACGAUGCGUAGCCGACCUGAGAGGAUGAUCGGCCACACUGGAACUGAGACACGGUCCAGACUCCUACGGGAGGCAGCAGUAGGGAAUCUUCCGCAAUAGGCGAAAGCCUGACGGAGCAACGCCGCGUGAGUUAUGAAGGUCUUCGGAUCGUAAAACUCUGUUAUUAGUGAAGAACAAAUGUGUAAGUAACUAUGCACGUCUUGACGGUACCUAAUCAGAAAGCCACGGCUAACUACGUG
rnacentral:rRNA from 1 species